CGUUGUGGCAGUCAUUAUUUAGCCACAGAAGGCUUGUCACCUAUUGCUGCGUGUCUCAAGGACGGCUUCCCACGGGAUUCACGUAAUAUUAUACAUCUCUCCAUAACAUCAUGAAAGCAUGGAAAUGAAUGGUGAUUCAGCCUACUGAAUGACUCGUGUGUAACACUAUAGGCUAGAUACUGAUCGCUCCCGAAAACAAUCUUGGCACAAAGGCUAGAGGCUAUUCAACGCGCGAUGGUUGCGGUUCGUCAUGGAUCGUGUUCCAGUGACAUUUCGUUCCAUGGCAAGGACCUUUAGGUUUCAGAGGUGCCACUACCUACAGCAUCGAUCCCACAACCGUUGAUGCCUAGAUGAAGCAUCUCCUGGGCCCUCCUCCGGACGGCCUGUGCCCCGUCCCGUACUUGAAGGACAAAUGUGAUGCAGAUGACUGCCUCCAGGCAGGUAAUGACACCUUUCUGUAAUGACAGUUACUGGUAUCGUAAUCCAUUCCUACUGCAUAUUCAUCUUUAUUAUUGCUAUAUCGCUA
rnacentral:misc_RNA from 1 species